AACGAACGCUGGCGGCAGGCCUAACACAUGCAAGUCGAACGCUCGUAGCAAUACGAGAGUGGCAGACGGGUGAGUAACACGUGGGAACCUUCCCUAUGGUUCGGAAUAGCUCAGGGAAACUUGAGGUAAUACCGGAUAAGCCCUUACGGGGAAAGAUUUAUCGCCAUUGGAUGGGCCCGCUUCGGAUCAGCUAGUUGGUGAGGUAACGGCUCACCAAGGCGACGAUCCGUAGCUGGUCUGAGAGGAUGAGCAGCCACACUGGGACUGAGACACGGCCCAGGCUCCUUCGUGAGGCAGCAGUGGGGAAUAUUGGACAAUGGGCACAAUCCUGAUCCAGCCAUGCCGCCUGAGUGACGAAGGCCUGAUGGUUGUAAAGCUCUAUUGGCGGGGAAGAUAAUGACGGUACCCGCAGAAUAAGCUCCGGAUAACUUCGUGCCAGCCGCCGCGGUAACAC
rnacentral:rRNA from 1 species